GGGGUUCUGGACUCAUGCAGAAGAGUCUGGAGAUGUCCAAGGAGGAUCCAGGGAGUCCCCAGGCCUGCCUGCAGCCGGACCCGGUGACACCGGAGCCCUGUGGCGCUGUCACCAUCCUCUGUCCCGAGGACGGGAGGUGAACUCUGUGCCACCAGCAGAGGGGACCACGGGUGACAUCAGUGUGGAACAGCCGUGACGCGGCGGCGUUGUCAUUGGGUGUCACCGUCACGCAGAGGGGCCAAAAGGACCCCCCUGGGGGCAUUGCGUCGAAGUUGGGGACACCGUGAGCAGCUUGAGGACUUCCCAGGGGAAGUGGGGGCACCGCGUCACCGUGUCACACCCCAAAGUUGGGG
rnacentral:lncRNA from 1 species